AGUCCGGUAGUGUUACACAUCAAAAUGCAAAUUUGAAAACGCACCCAAUAAGUGCCUGGGCUU
rnacentral:tRNA from 1 species